UAUGGUACAUGGCAAACCAUUCCCGAAAGGGUGGGACGUCCCGAGAGAAAAUCUCAAAGAAGAUUGUCAUCGGGACCCUGAUGAAGUUCGCGAGAAGAAUCUUCAUUCGGGGCAAAGCCUCAGACCUUAAACAGUGACUCUACGCUGUAAAGGUGGCUGGGUUACCGAA
rnacentral:ncRNA from 1 species